UUGUUUUUUUUAAUUGUUUAAAUAGAUAGGGACAGUGCAUAUUAAUGGACAUCAGUGCAAGUACACAUUGUAAAUAUGCUAGAGUAGGCACCAUAGCUAAUUUUCAUCUAUUGUACCAAGGCAGAUUAUUAAAAAA